AUUAGACUAAGACGAAAUGACAAUGGCUUCUUUGAUCAACAGGUCUUUGACUUCUAUCUGCAACUCCAAAUCAGCUAUUGGCAUCGAAACUCGAUUUCCGAGUCCUUUUCUCGUUGGGUUCACUUCUCCGAUCCUCAUCAAUUCCGGGAAGGUCUCUUCUUCGAUAGUCUGCAAAGCUGUGUCUGUGAAGCCCCAAACUGACAUUGAAGGCCUCAACAUUGCCGAUUGCCGAUGAAGUCUGAGCAUGAUAAAUUUUUUGUUGGAGGAUUCCUUAAAUUGCAGUUACUUGUAGAUUUUGAUCUUUCCUUUUGUUCAAGAGAAAUGGAGAAUAAUGGUUUGCUUUUGUUGGUAGAAAAGUAGGCCUUAACGUGCCAGGUUCACCCUAUUUAAUUGAUUUCCAGCCAACUGCUCCUGAGUCAUCUAGAAUGAGACUUAUGAACGUGACUACUAAUUCGUGUGGUGAUUACUUCACUUGGCUGUUCUUGUGGUGAUUGCCCUGCGGCUCCUGUUUGCUCUGAUUCAGCUCCUCCUUCCUCUGUAAAAAAAGGCUCCUGUUCAGUGAGAAUUGAGUCUCUUAAGAUCUUGCAAUGAAAUUGGGAAACAUUACAAAGCACCAUAGUGGAGGAGACAUUGAGAAUCCUGCCGACUGCUUUAUUUUUGGUUUGACUUUUGGUAAGCUUUGAACCUUUAAUCUCAAUACUACAUAUUCUGUUGAGUGCUAGCCUGUUGGGUUUCGAUCUUCAUUACUAUUUGGCAUUAAAUUUCCAUAGUAAUUUGUUGAAUUAUGGUGGUGGCUGGCUAGUGGUACUUAGGACAACAGGUUUUUGGAUGUGGCAAAUAUAAUCAGAGCCGACCACAUAAACACAAGGAUCAUUGUUCUGGACUGACCAAGAGUUGAUUGUGGUAUUAGGAUUGAUUAUGGACAUACCGGAGUAUAAAAGGGUAGUUUGUAACAAUCUUGUCCCACAUGGGAAGUUUUCAUGGGUGAUCUUUUGUUU